rnacentral:tRNA from 1 species
UCCAUGGUGGCUCAGUGGUAGAGAAUCUGCCUGCAAUGCAGGGCACCCGGGUUCAAUCCCUGGGUUGGGAG